CAGUCGAACGAUGAUGCCCUGCUUGCAGGGUGGAUUAGUGGCGAACGGGUGAGUAACACGUGGGUGAUCUGCCCCGCACUUCGGGAUAAGCCUGGGAAACUGGGUCUAAUACCGGAUACGACCCCCUGGUAGGUCAGGGGGUGGAAAGAUUUUAUCGGUGUGGGAUGAGCCUGCGGCCUAUCAGCUUGUUGGUGGGGUAAUGGCCUACCAAGGCGUCGACGGGUAGCCGGCCUGAGAGGGUGAUCGGCCACAUUGGGACUGAGACACGGCCCAGACUCCUACGGGAGGCAGCAGUGGGGAAUAUUGCACAAUGGGCGCAAGCCUGAUGCAGCGACGCCGCGUGGGGGAUGACGGCCUUCGGGUUGUAAACUCCUUUCGACAGGGACGAAGCUUAUGUGACGGUACCUGUAGAAGAAGCACCGGCUAACUACGUGCCAGCAGCCGCGGUAAUACGUAGGGUGCGAGCGUUGUCCGGAAUUACUGGGCGUAAAGAGCUCGUAGGUGGUUUGUCGCGUCGUCUGUGAAAUCCCGGGGCUUAACCUCGGGCGUGCAGGCGAUACGGGCAUAACUUGAGUGCUGUAGGGGAGACUGGAAUUCCUGGUGUAGCGGUGAAAUGCGCAGAUAUCAGGAGGAACACCAAUGGCGAAGGCAGGUCUCUGGGCAGUAACUGACGCUGAGGAGCGAAAGCAUGGGUAGCGAACAGGAUUAGAUACCCUGGUAGUCCAUGCCGUAAACGGUGGGCGCUAGGUGUAGGGGACUUCCACGUCUUCUGUGCCGCAGCUAACGCAUUAAGCGCCCCGCCUGGGGAGUACGGCCGCAAGGCUAAAACUCAAAGGAAUUGACGGGG
rnacentral:rRNA from 1 species